rnacentral:tRNA from 1 species
GGAGGGCUCGCAUAGUGGCCUAGUGCGGCGGUCUUGAAAACCGCUAAGUCGGUAACCCCGGCUUCGUGGGUUCGAAUCCCACGCCCUCCGCCG